UUAAGCGACUAAGCGUACACGGUGGAUGCCCUGGCAGUCAGAGGCGAUGAAGGACGUGCUAAUCUGCGAAAAGCGUCGGUAAGGUGAUAUGAACCGUUAUAACCGGCGAUGUCCGAAUGGGGAAACCCAGUGCAAUUCGUUGCACUAUCGUUAACUGAAUACAUAGGUUAACGAGGCGAACCGGGGGAACUGAAACAUCUAAGUACCCCGAGGAAAAGAAAUCAACCGAGAUUCCCCCAGUAGCGGCGAGCGAACGGGGAGCAGCCCAGAGUCUGAAUCAGCUUGUGUGUUAGUGGAACGGUCUGGAAAAUCCGACGGUACAGGGUGAUAGUCCCGUACACCAAAAUGCACAGGCUGUGAACUCGAAGAGUAGGGCGGGACACGUGGUAUCCUGUCUGAAUAUGGGGGGACCAUCCUCCAAGGCUAAAUACUCCUGACUGACCGAUAGUGAACCAGUACCGUGAGGGAAAGGCGAAAAGAACCCCGGCGAGGGGAGUGAAAAAGAACCUGAAACCGUGUACGUACAAGCAGUGGGAGCACCUUCGGGUGUGACUGCGUACCUUUUGUAUAAUGGGUCAGCGACUUAUAUUCUGUAGCAAGGUUAACCGUAUAGGGGAGCCGCAGGGAAACCGAGUCUUAACUGGGCGUUAAGUUGCAGGGUAUAGACCCGAAACCCGGUGAUCUAGCCAUGGGCAGGUUGAAGGUUGGGUAACACUAACUGGAGGACCGAACCGACUAAUGUUGAAAAAUUAGCGGAUGACUUGUGGCUGGGGGUGAAAGGCCAAUCAAACCGGGAGAUAGCUGGUUCUCCCCGAAAGCUAUUUAGGUAGCGCCUCGUGAAUUCAUCUUCGGGGGUAGAGCACUGUUUCGGCUAGGGGGUCAUCCCGACUUACCAACCCGAUGCAAACUACGAAUACCGAAGAAUGUUAUCACGGGAGACACACGGCGGGUGCUAACGUCCGUCGUGAAGAGGGAAACAACCCAGACCGCCAGCUAAGGUCCCAAAGUCAUGGUUAAGUGGGAAACGAUGUGGGAAGGCACAGACAGCCAGGAUGUUGGCUUAGAAGCAGCCAUCAUUUAAAGAAAGCGUAAUAGCUCACUGGUCGAGUCGGCCUGCGCGGAAGAUGUAACGGGGCUAAACCAUGCACCGAAGCUGCGGCAGCGACACUAUGUGUUGUUGGGUAGGGGAGCGUUCUGUAAGCCUGCGAAGGUGUGCUGUGAGGCAUGCUGGAGGUAUCAGAAGUGCGAAUGCUGACAUAAGUAACGAUAAAGCGGGUGAAAAGCCCGCUCGCCGGAAGACCAAGGGUUCCUGUCCAACGUUAAUCGGGGCAGGGUGAGUCGACCCCUAAGGCGAGGCCGAAAGGCGUAGUCGAUGGGAAACAGGUUAAUAUUCCUGUACUUGGUGUUACUGCGAAGGGGGGACGGAGAAGGCUAUGUUAGCCGGGCGACGGUUGUCCCGGUUUAAGCAUGUAGGCUGGUUGUCCAGGCAAAUCCGGAUAAUCAAGGCUGAGGUGUGAUGACGAGGCACUACGGUGCUGAAGUAACAAAUGCCCUGCUUCCAGGAAAAGCCUCUAAGCAUCAGGUAACAUCAAAUCGUACCCCAAACCGACACAGGUGGUCAGGUAGAGAAUACCAAGGCGCUUGAGAGAACUCGGGUGAAGGAACUAGGCAAAAUGGUGCCGUAACUUCGGGAGAAGGCACGCUGGUGUGUAGGUGAAGUCCCUGCGGAUGGAGCUGAGACCAGUCGAAGAUACCAGCUGGCUGCAACUGUUUAUUAAAAACACAGCACUGUGCAAACACGAAAGUGGACGUAUACGGUGUGACGCCUGCCCGGUGCCGGAAGGUUAAUUGAUGGGGUUAUCCGUAAGGGGAAGCUCUUGAUCGAAGCCCCGGUAAACGGCGGCCGUAACUAUAACGGUCCUAAGGUAGCGAAAUUCCUUGUCGGGUAAGUUCCGACCUGCACGAAUGGCGUAAUGAUGGCCAGGCUGUCUCCACCCGAGACUCAGUGAAAUUGAACUCGCUGUGAAGAUGCAGUGUACCCGCGGCAAGACGGAAAGACCCCGUGAACCUUUACUAUAGCUUGACACUGAACAUUGAGCCUUGAUGUGUAGGAUAGGUGGGAGGCUUUGAAGCGUGGACGCCAGUCUGCGUGGAGCCAACCUUGAAAUACCACCCUUUAAUGUUUGAUGUUCUAACGUUGGCCCCUGACCGGGGUUGCGGACAGUGUCUGGUGGGUAGUUUGACUGGGGCGGUCUCCUCCCAAAGCGUAACGGAGGAGCACGAAGGUUAGCUAAUCCUGGUCGGACAUCAGGAGGUUAGUGCAAUGGCAUAAGCUAGCUUGACUGCGAGCGUGACGGCGCGAGCAGGUGCGAAAGCAGGUCAUAGUGAUCCGGUGGUUCUGAAUGGAAGGGCCAUCGCUCAACGGAUAAAAGGUACUCCGGGGAUAACAGGCUGAUACCGCCCAAGAGUUCAUAUCGACGGCGGUGUUUGGCACCUCGAUGUCGGCUCAUCACAUCCUGGGGCUGAAGUAGGUCCCAAGGGUAUGGCUGUUCGCCAUUUAAAGUGGUACGCGAGCUGGGUUUAGAACGUCGUGAGACAGUUCGGUCCCUAUCUGCCGUGGGCGCUGGAGAAUUGAGGGGGGCUGCUCCUAGUACGAGAGGACCGGAGUGGACGCAUCACUGGUGUUCGGGUUGUCAUGCCAAUGGCACUGCCCGGUAGCUAAAUGCGGAAGAGAUAAGUGCUGAAAGCAUCUAAGCACGAAACUUGCCCCGAGAUGAGUUCUCCCUGAGACUUUAAGUCUCCUGAAGGAACGUUAAAGACGAUGACGUUGAUAGGCCGGGUGUGUAAGCGCAGCGAUGCGUUGAGCUAACCGGUACUAAUGAACCGUGAGGCUUAACCUU
rnacentral:rRNA from 1 species